rnacentral:lncRNA from 10 species
AGAUGGAGUCUCACUGUGUUGCUCAAGGUGGGCUCAAAGUCCUGGCCUCAGGUGAUCCUCCUGCCUCAGCCUCCCAGGUUGCUGGGAUUAAAGGCACACUACCAUGAGCAGCCAGAUCAGAUCAUUUUCUAUACCUUCUAAAAAUCACUAAGAACAGAAAUACAUGGGAGUUGCCCUCAUUCUCUUUCCAGACAUAAUAUAAUGUAAUUCCUUCCUUUUAAUAAGAAAUAUGAAGCUUAAAUAAAAAUUAAUCAACAUAGAUAAAUAUUUAGGAAUUGAGAAACUUGUAUUUGGGCCUUUUUACCGCACUAUUUUAAUUCUUUCCUAGUUUUAUGCCAUAAAUUAUGCCAAUACUCUAUCAGCCAUAAUUAUUUAAUAAUCUGUGCAUAGCAACUUGUUUUAAGCUCUUCUUUUGUUUAGUUGAAAGCGAAGAGUUGGAAACAAUCUCACUUAGAAAUGCAUAUUAGCCGUUCAUCAGAGUCACUCACUUCUAAAACUUUUUUCACUAAUAUUUCCAUUUGUCUUUUUGGUAUCACAGAGGAAUUUGGUACCCAAAGCAACACAUCUGAUUAAGAUACAGAGUAGGUCGAAGAAAGGCUUUACCUUUGUACUUUUGAGAAGAAUGAUUCUGCAACGGGUAAAAAGCUAAGAUAACAUUAAUUUAGGAAAGAGUACAGUUGGUAUAUUGCUGAAUUCAAUCACCUCCUGCCAUAUCAAACAAAAAUGAGGUCUAUAAAGGAUAAACUACUUCUGAAGAUUUCAUAACUGCUUGAUUCUUCCAAUGUGAAAUUAAUAUUUAGUGAGCACCUAAUGCAUCAGUAGAUGAGGGUUCAGAGAUGAACAAGACACAUUUUCUGCAUUCACAGAACUUACAGUUUAAUGGAAGAUGUUGAUUCUUUAAUGCAGACAUUCUAUUUUGCCAUGAAGUUCAAGGGCAGCAUAUGAUCCAUAGUCUCUGGCAAUUAGUGAUAUAAAAUGGAGAGGCAGGAUGGAAACAGAAGACAAGCAGAGCAACAAAAUCACAGCACUAGAAGAAACUUUUGUGAGCUUUCUUAUUAUUGUCAGUUUACAAAAGAAGCCACCAAACACAGACCCCAAAAAAGAAUGUGACUGAAAUGAUGAUCUACAACUUCCAAGGCUAGUCAUCAUGGAACUUUGCAGCUUCCCGUCCACUGUUUUGGAAUGCCACUGCCAUGUGAAGAUACCCAGGCUAUUCUCCUAGAGGAUGAGAAACGACAUGAAGAGAGAGACCCAGCAGACAGUCACCACCAACAUAAGACAUGUGAUUGAGACCAUCUCUCACCCAACAGACCCACUUACCAGUAGCCACUUAAGCGACCUCAACAGCUCAAGUUUAAAAUAAAAAAAAAAAGAGAUCAGCAAUUCUAACCAACAUUUAAUGCAUCUGUUUCUAAGUUGUUGAUUGUUUCUUAUUUUCACUUUCAACUAAAUGGAAAAAUAACCUAAUCAACCUAAUCUAAUUAAGUUGUCAUCUGAUAGAUAAUUAAAUAAUUAUGUCUGAUAAAACUUUGGUAUGAUUUUGGGGUAUAUGCCUAGCAAGAAAUUAAAUAAUUUGAGCCCAUCCCAAAUCACUGACCCACAGACUAAUGAGCAAAUAAAAUGGUGGAUUUUUUAAGCCACUAAUUUUUGGUAUAGUUUCUCACAUUCUCAAAAUGUUAUUUAAUUAUUUACUCUGUUAUCUGCUCUACUCCGGCAAGCAAUUAAUUUCUCUUUUGGUUAGUAAUCCAAAAUCAGAUUUUCUUGUUUACAACAUAACUCUUGAGGCACACACAGAUUUAAAAGAAUGACCUUCUAGGUUUCCCAGCUGAAAAUACAGGAUUUUUUUCACAUAUUUUCUGUUGAUUUCAAAGAAAAUAAAUAAACCCACAAGUUUUGCAGAAAUCAAAUUCAUAUAACUGAAAAUGCUUUGGGAACAAAGGGAGAAGUUGGUCAAUUGAGAGAGGAGCAAAUUAACUUAACUCAGAGACUUACUGUUAGUUCUUCUAUCAACAUGAUCACCCACAGGACUCCUUCAUUUCCCUUGGAGCUGGCACUCCUUAAUUUUUUUGGAAGUCUCAUAUGGAACAAAUAUAUAUGAAAACUUGAUGUCUAGAAAGGUUGAAAAAUUAGAAAUAAUAUUUUCCCAAGAUACCUACAAUACAAUUCUUCAAUGAUUUCUGUGCAUUCUGUCUCCACAACUUCAGGAAAAUUAAGGAGACUCUCUGCAGACUGCUAAAAGGACCUCAUUUGAGUAAACUGAGUAUGUGAAUGCCCUAUAGAGCUGUUACGGAGAAAGAGAACCACCGUUAUAAUGUUAUAUUUCCAUUUCUUCAGUGUGACGGUUAAUACUGUCAACUUGAUUAGAUUGAAGGAUGAGAAGUAUUGUUCCUGGGUGUGUCUGUGAAGGUGUUGCCAAAGGAGUUUAACAUUUGAGUCAGUGGACUAGGAAAGGCAGACCUACCCUCAAUCAGCUGCCAGCACAGCCAGAAUAAAAGCAGGCAGAAGAAUUUGAAAAGACUAGACUGGUUUAGUCUUCUCGCCUCCAUCUUUCUCCCAUGCUGGGUGCUUCCUGACCUCAAACACCGGACUCCAAGUUCUUCAGUUUUGGGACUCAACUGGCUUCCUGGCUCCUCAGCUUGCAUACGAUCUAUUGUGGGACCUCAUCUUGUGAUCGUGUGAGUCAAUCCUCAUUAACAAAUUCCUCUAUAUAUACAUCUACCCUAUUAGUUCUGUCCCUCUAGAGAAGCCUGACUAAUACAUUGAGUAGGUAUUAUGUAUCAUGCAGAAUGGGAAGGGUUUUUACAAGAAUAAAUUUUAAUCUUAAUCUCAAACUUUCAAGGUAGUUUUUGAAGAUCAGAUAAAUUUACAAUCUGCUCCAAAUAUCACAGCUAGUAAAUGACAUACUUGUCUUCUAAACUUCAGUUUAUCUGGUUCUAAAUAAUAUACAUUUCAAAUGUACAAUUCUGGUGUAUUAUAAGACACAAGUGCUAGAUUGCAUAAUAGUAUAUCCUUUAAUUUGGAAUAUCAAUGAAACUGUUUUCAUGAGCCAUGGGAAUUUGUGAAAAAAAAUGGAUUGAGAUUGGAGUUCAAAAUUUGGCUGUAUUUCUUAUGUUAUAGUCUUAGUUCAUUCAAUUGUAAAGGGACUCAAUUAUCUCUACUAGCUCAGGUGAAAAACUACAAACAGUCUGAAAUAAUUAAUGUUUGGUUGUAGAGUAUAACUCAUUUGGAGUUCUAUCAGCCUCUCAAUGAAUUCUUUCCGACUACCAGUUUAAAUCUUAAUGUAAGUGUAGCUGAGAAAGUUUGUCGUUUCUGCAUUCCCAAGAUCACUUGGCCAAUCAUGGUGAUCUAAACCAUUAUCAGAACUCAACUAAAAUAUAAAAUGCAUGAAGCUAAACGUGCCUUCUUUUCACGACUUUCUAAGAGGAGUUUUGGUUAAGCUUUGGGGCAGCACAGGAUAUCCUUAUGGAAACAAAAUCUAUAAGCAAAAGAGAGAAAAAUAGAAUGGAUCUAUCUUCUUGUGAAGUCCUUGUACAUGUCUGGUAAUCAGCCAGGUAUUUCCCAUCUGAUAAUCUAAUUCACCCCUCCCAAUUCUAUGGGUUAAGUAUUAUCACACCAUUUUCACGCUUGUGAGAAAAGACUCAGAUUAAAUUAUCAGCCAGUAUCCUUCAGGUGGCAAGUAGUUAGAGCCAGCAAUCAAAGAAACCUUGCACUUUUGAUCUAAUGUUGCAUCACAACUCUAUUUUUGAACUGCGUAGAGUAGUAUAGUAGCUACUAGAAUAGUAUAAAUACAGUAGCCACUAGCCAUUUAUGGUAUUUGAAUACUUGAAAUCAGACUAAACCAAACUGACUCGUGUUAUACAUUUCACAUGCACACCAGAGUUCAAGAACUUAGUACAAAAAAACCACAAAUGUGAAAUAUAUAAAAACAGGAAGUGAUUAUUUUAAUUAUAUUGGAUUAAGUUAAAAUUUUAAAAAUUAAUUUCAUGGAUUUCUCUAUACUUUUAAAAAUAUUGCUAGUAGAAAAUUUAAAAUUACAUAUGAAGCAUGUAUUUUAUUUCUUUUAGACAAUGCUGGCAUAGACUCUUUCAUAGGGAGCCAGGGAAAUUUAGUUUUGUAAGACACUUGUGCUCAUCACUGUCUGUGAUACCUUAAGCCAAAUCUUAGUUUAACUGAGCUGUGUUUUUUCAUCUAACAAAUGUGGAUAAUAACAUAUGCUCUGCAGGGCUUACACUGGGGCUAGAGGCAAAGUAUGUAAAGCAUUUUCCAAGCGUCUGUACCAUAAGGGGCACUUGAGACAAAGUAAUAGUAAUAAUCUGUAUAAAAUUUUAAAUUCUACAUUUUGAAGCCCUUUGGACUCCAAACACUAUACUUUUUCCACUUCCCAUAUGAUUUCCCUAUCAAAAAAGUUGAUAGUAUGCUCAACAUCAUGAGACCUCAAGAGGAAGUGAGGAGGUAAGAAUAUUGAAGUUUCAGAUAAGCAAAUGAAUAUGCAAUGUGGGCCCUCGAAAAUAAAUGAUGGCAAAACAACAAACUUUGAGUUUGGUUUCAAUGUGUUUUUAUUGUUGGCAAUGAGGCUUUCAGCACUAUUUGCUAUAAUCUUCCCACAGAUAAUCACAUUUAACAUUUUCCCACAAGUCUGCUUAAUAAAUAUACUUAUUUACGUGCAAAAUCAUUCAAAGGUUAAGCCCUUAGCUGUUACUUAUAAAUUAUGUAGCUAUAUAUCAUGUAUCAAUUUUAGGUCCAUCUAGGCAGAACUACAUAAAAACCAUGCCUGUAAGCGUUAACUAGGGCUAUAACCAUUCUCAUAGAGGCCUUUGAUAAAUUCAAAAUUUCUUGUAGAUAUUUAAACUUUCAUUCUAUGAUGAAGACCAUAUAUGCAUUUUAGCAUAUACCAUUAUAGUAAAUAAAUUAUAAAAUUAUUAUUAUGGUUCUGAUAUUAAUCUACAAAUUUCUUUUCACCCAGAAGUUCAUACUAAUGUUCAACCAGAGUAGCUGACAAAUACUUCUGAUCUGUUUGGGGCCUUCUUUGGCAGUCCCAUGUUAUUUUCCUUUUGUAGAGAGGAUCUGUUUAGGAUCUAUUAACUGCAGGGAAUCUGUGCAUUAAAAUGACAAUUAUUAAGGACAAACCUUCAUCAGGUAAUAGCUGCUAUGGAAGCCUUUACUUCCCACCAAUAAACUCCACUGAAUGCUAUUUACCUAAUUUUCUUAUUAUGCCAAAGCACUGUGACAUUCUCCAAGACAGUUUCUCUAAUCUAAUCACUCUCUAUCUGUAUUCUUUCAAAUGAGAGACCAGCAUGUGGUGCUUCUAUGAUGAUCAGAAAGAUAUUUUAAGCAAUUUUUGGCAUGGAAAGUCACUUUUGGAUUCAAAUCUGAGCUGAAAGGGAUAUGUCAUUGCAGAAAUGAGGACUCUGUGACACUUCCUGUGCCACACCAUGAAAUCUCUCCUCUGUAACUGCUCAGAGACAUUAACAUCUAAUUACUUUCUGCUCAUAAUUGUGAAUGUUACAUUUGCAAACAGCCAUUUUCUAAGAACUAAUAUGGCUAUUUGUGUCCAAAAUCAUCUCCAUGUACUUUAUUUUCUGUGGGCUAAUUUUGAGAAGGUUGUUUACAUCUUGAACAAUUGUUUGUAUACAAAAAGUGCAAAAUGAGGGAAUGUCAAAGGAACUAGCACCAGGUUUAAUGCUUUGCCUGUUAAGCCAGUUUUUUUCUCACUAAAACUGU